rnacentral:lncRNA from 10 species
UAUGCCAUAACAAAAUAACACAGGCUUGGUGCCUUAAACAACAGAAAUUUUUCUUCUGGUUCUGGAAGCUGGAAGUCUAAGAUCAAGCUGUUGGUGGAUUUGAUUUCCCCUAAGGCCUCUCUCCUUGGCCUGCAGACCACCACCUUCUCUCUGUGUCCUCACCUAGCCUUUUCUCUGUGUCCUCACCUAGCCUUUUCUGUGUGCUGCAUCCCUGGCCUCUCUUCCAGUUCUUAUAAGGACCCCAGUCACAUUGGAUUUGAGCCCCAUCCUUAUGAACUCACUUAACCUUAAUUAUCUCUUUAAGGGCCCUGUCUCCAAACACAGUCAUGUUAGGGGGUUAGGGCUUCAAUUUAUGAAUCUGGGGGACAAUUUAGUAAAAAAAAUAGUAUGUGACAGCCCAGUUUAUAUACCUGCUUUCCAGAAACAAGAAUAUGGUUGUUAAUGUCUUCUCUUUAGCCUCAAGAUACAGUGCAAAUAUCUGUAGUUCCGUUCUUACGUAAGCUUUAUUUUACUUUUUCUAAAAACUAUAUUGAAAGUAUAGCAAUCCGAGUUAGAAAUUGCUUAUAAUGCAUUCAUCUAAUCAGCUCAGUGUUCUUACUGAACAAACUUUUAUUUCCAUGUUUACUCAUGUUUAUUUCAUCAGUUUCACCUGACAUUAUACCAUGAAUAUAUUUCUGUUUUGCUAGUGUUUUUAUUCUUACUGAUCACAUGUCCCUUUUUCGUCUUCCAUACCACUCCCAGCCUAGAGUUAAUGACCACUAACCACCGUAGCCACAUACUUUUCCAUGUUUGGAUAACCUUAUGCAGCAUA